UUACUGACAGGUGACGGUGCGUUUACUGACAGGUGACGGUGCAUUCACUGACAGGUGACGGUGCAUUCACUGACAGGUGAAGGUGUGUUUACUGACAGGUGACGGUGCAUUCACUGACAGGUGACGGUGCAUUCACUGACAGGUGACGGUGCGUUUACUGACAGGUGACGGUGCGUUUACUGACAGGUGACGGUGCAUUCACUGACAGGUGACGGUGUGUUUACUGACAGGUGACGGUGCAUUCACUGACAGGUGACGGUGCAUUCACUGACAGGUGACGGUGUGUUUACUGACAGGUGACGGUGCGUUUACUGACAGGUGACGGUGUGUUUACCGACAGGUGAAGGUGUGUUUACUGACAGGUGACGGUGCAUUCACUGACAGGUGACGGUGCGUUUACUGACAGGUGACGGUGCGUUUACUGACAGGUGACGGUGCAUUCACUGACAGGUGACGGUGUGUUUACUGACAGGUGACGGUGUGUUUACUGACAGGUGACGGUGCAUUCACUGACAGGUGACGGUGUGUUUACUGACAGGUGACGGUGCGUUUACUGACAGGUGACGGUGUGUUUACCGACAGGUGAAGGUGUGUUUACUGACAGGUGACGGUGCAUUCACUGACAGGUGACGGUGUGUUUACUGACAGGUGACGGUGCGUUUACUGACAGGUGAAGGUGUGUUUACUGACAGGUGACGGUGCAUUCACUGACAGGUGACGGUGUGUUUACUGACAGGUGACGGUGCAUUCACUGACAGGUGACGGUGUGUUUACUGACAGGUGACGGUGCAUUCACUGACAGGUGACGGUGCAUUCACUGACAGGUGACGGUGCGUUUACUGACAGGUGACGGUGUGUUUACUGACAGGUGACGGUGCAUUCACUGACAGGUGACGGUGUGUUUACUGACAGGUGACGGUGUGUUUACCGACAGGUGAAGGUGUGUUUACUGACAGGUGACGGUGCAUUCACUGACAGGUGACGGUGUGUUUACUGACAGGUGACGGUGCGUUUACUGACAGGUGAAGGUGUGUUUACUGACAGGUGACGGUGCAUUCACUGACAGGUGACGGUGUGUUUACUGACAGGUGACGGUGCAUUCACUGACAGGUGACGGUGCAUUCACUGACAGGUGACGGUGCGUUUACUGACAGGUGACGGUGCGUUUACUGACAGGUGACGGUGCAUUCACUGACAGGUGACGGUGUGUUUACUGACAGGUGACGGUGUGUUUACUGACAGGUGACGGUGCAUUCACUGACAGGUGACGGUGUGUUUACUGACAGGUGACGGUGCAUUCACUGACAGGUGACGGUGUGUUUACUGACAGGUGACGGUGCGUUUACUGACAGGUGACGGUGUGUUUACCGACAGGUGAAGGUGUGUUUACUGACAGGUGACGGUGCAUUCACUGACAGGUGACGGUGUGUUUACUGACAGGUGACGGUGCGUUUACUGACAGGUGAAGGUGUGUUUACUGACAGGUGACGGUGCAUUCACUGACAGGUGACGGUGUGUUUACUGACAGGUGACGGUGCAUUCACUGACAGGUGACGGUGUGUUUACUGACAGGUGACGGUGCGUUCACCGACAGGUGACGGUGCGUUCACUGACAGGUGAAGGUGUGUUUACUGACAGGUGACGGUGCAUUCACUGACAGGUGAAGGUGUGUUUACUGACAGGUGACGGUGCAUUCACUGACAGGUGACGGUGUGUUUACCGACAGGUGACGGUGCGUUCACUGACUGACAGGUAACGGUGCGUUCACCUACAGGUGAAGGUGUGUUUACUGACAGGUGACGGUGCAUUCACUGACAGGUGAAGGUGUGUUCACUGACAGUUGACGGUGCGUUUACUGACAGUUGACGGUGCGUUUACUGACAGGUGACGGUGUGUUCACUGACUGACAGGUAACGGUGCGUUCACCUACAGGUGAAGGUGUGUUUACUGACAGGUGACGGUGCAUUCACUGACAGGUGAAGGUGUGUUCACUGACAGUUGACGGUGCGUUUACUGACAGUUGACGGUGCGUUUACCUACAGGUGACGGUGCGUUUACUGACAGGUGACGGUGCAUUCACUGACAGGUGAAGGUGUGUUCACUGACAGUUGACGGUGCGUUUACUGACAGUUGACGGUGCGUUUACUGACAGGUGACGGUGUGUUCACUGACUGACAGGUAACGGUGCGUUCACCUACAGGUGAAGGUGUGUUUACUGACAGGUGACGGUGCAUUCACUGACAGGUGAAGGUGUGUUCACUGACAGUUGACGGUGCGUUUACUGACAGUUGACGGUGCGUUUACCUACAGGUGACGGUGCGUUUACUGACAGGUGACGGUGUGUUCACUGACUGACAGGUAACGGUGCGUUCACUGACAGGUGACGGUGUGUUCACCGACAGGUGACGGUGCGUUCACCGACAGGUGACGGUGCGUUCACCGACAGGUGACGGUGCGUUUACUGACAGGUGAUUCUCUUCAGACCAGCUCAGCAGCAGGUCAGGGAUCAGUUAGCAGCAGACAAUUACAGCAGCAAAGUCUGCUGGGUAAAUAUUUAGAUAGAGGACUAAGAAUAGAGCAGAGUCUGUCUGAGCAGCAGAGGAACUUUCAGGCUCUGAGCUUCGGUGGAAACAGAAUCUGAACGUUUACGUGAGCAGAUUGUCUUCAUGUUCUGAUGUUUGUUGGUCUAGAAGCAGCUGGAGUCUGGAGGUUUAAUGAGUUUAGAUCAACAAUCUUUAAUAAGGUCUGGUUCAUGUUGACAGACUUUAUUAGAGGAAACAUCACAUGAACACCAGAACUAACCAGUAAAUGAUUUUUAUGAAGCCUUUAUGAAGAGACACUACAGGUGAGAAACGAUAACAAUAAAAUUAAAUCGGUUUGUUUGUUUGACUUUAGAGCUCUUAAAUAAAUCCUUACAGCUGCCUGGUUUUUACUGCAAAUAAGUUCAUCUUCAUUAAAUCAUAAGCAAACUUUUAUCCACAAAAAAAAAAAAAAACAAGUUCGGACUCUGUGAGUCUAGACUAUGAUCAGUUUGAUUCUGCUGUCAGUUAGUACUGCUGGUUUAAUAUCAGCUUUAGUUCAGACAGACUCAGGAUUUCUACAGACCUGUUGGGACGUUUAUCAAACACUGAGACCCUUUCAGAGCUCUGAGACACUCAGAGGACCUGAGGACCUUUAGGAGGGUUGGGGUUUGAUUCUGACAUGAAGACGUUUGUUUGACGCUUCAGUCGUGCUGCUGGAGGUUCUCAGUGCUGAUGUUAAACUCAGGAAUCAGAUUACAGCCGUGUGAAGUCGUCUGGAUGAAUCCUCGGUUCCAUGAGGAGGUCUGAGAUGAAUCAGUGAAAACUAAAAGUGUUUCUAUUCCUCUGUGAAGCUCUAUAGGUUUCAGGAUGAGUUCAUGUUUCUGUGUUUUUAUCCUUCAGUCUGAUCUGUUUUCACUUUUACAUUUAAAUGACUUUAAUCUUACCUGGAACCUGAUUCACUGAGAUGCAGCCGGCAGGAAACGUUCCUCCAACGUUAGAUAACGUCACCCACAAAUCUAAAUAAAGUUCUACACUAAUGUUCAAAGAACGUCAGAGAUAUUUCCCUCCUCAUAUAAAA